GAUGAAGAACGUAGCGAAAUGCGAUAAGUAAUGUGAAUUGCAGAAUUCAGUGAAUCAUCGAGUCUUUGAACGCACAUUGCGCCCCCUGGUAUUCCGGGGGGCAUGCCUGUCCGAGCGUCAUUGCUGCCCUCAAGCACGGCUUGUGUGUUGGGCCCCCGUCCCCGGUUCUCCCCGGGGCCGGGCCCGAAAGGCAGCGGCGGCACCGCGUCCGAUCCUCGAGCGUAUGGGGCUUUGUCACCCGCUCUGUAGGCCCGGCCGGCGCCAGCCGACACCCCAACUUUAUUUUCUAAGGUUGACCUCGGAUCAGGUAGGGAUACCCGCUGAACUUAAGCAUAUCAAUAAGCGGAGGA
rnacentral:misc_RNA from 1 species